CAUCUUGAAUGGCCUAAGCGAGAGUACAUUUCAGCAGAUUAUCAUUUUUGGGUUUACUAUUCCUUUAACUCAUUUAAUUUUAGUUACAAGCAUAAAAUCUAUGCUUAGAUCUUGUCCUUAUGCAUUCAUAAAAUGCAAUCCAAAUAGAAGAAACACAAACCACUUUGUUAAGCAUCCUAAUUUUGAUUAUCAUUUAUAUAGUACUCAUGUGGCAGUGCAUGAGUAAAAGCCAUAUUUCUUUCUUUUACUUCAGAAGAGGCAUUAGCUUGACUUUAAUAUAUCAUUUUAAGGUGUAACUUGACAGCUUCACUAAAUGAGAAUCGUACUGCAUUGAAAUGUAAUUAGUUCAAAGGAUGAGAUUCUGAUUUAUGUUUUCAGGACACCAAGGGGGAGGAGAUGUCCUCAAAGAAGUGCAUGCUGUAUGUCUACAUUUUUAAAGGGCUUGAGCUCGGUGACGGGAGCUCACAGACGCUGUCUAAUCGAGAGGGAAUGACAAACAGCCAGAUGGAUAAAGCUACAGAUUCAUGGAAUGACUGAAUCCUGUGGGCUUAAGAAUGCAGUCAUCUCUAAUCUGGAAUUUCACAUGAAUUUGCAUCAUAUUCAGGUUUGUUCAACUCUGAAAACUAAACUCUGCUUAAUUUGGAAGACACCAAUGGUGCUUCAAGCAUUGUACACAAUUAAGAAUAGACCUUCUUCACUAACUGCGCCUUUAUAAUGCUAGCAAAAAGUAGGCUAUGUGCAGGUUUGCAUGUGAACAUCUCACAUUAAUUUCUUUGACUCAGAAGACAUCAUAUACUAGUAUAACAUCAAAAGAUUGCUUAAAUUAUCAGUGCUGACAACAUUAAUAACCUGAUAUACAUUAAGGCUGUUUGUGUAAAUCAAGCAGCCCAUGCGUAGCACGUUCAUUAUCAGUUAUCAGACAUCAAGACUUCUUUGCUACUCAGCAUCUUCUCUAUGAUUCCUAGACAGCCCUGCAUUACAGAAAUACAAUAGCACAAUUAGUUUGCGGCAUCUUGCCUCGUCUUUACUGAAUGAUUAUGUACUACAUCUGAUUAGCCCUGAGGAAAUGAAGUAACAUGUCUUAACAGAAUGGCAUUCUCACAUGUGCUUUCCAUUCAGCCCAGCUGUUACCUGUCAUGGUUUUUUCUCUCUGUGUUUGAAGGAAUUGAUUAUUUAUUUCACUAAAAAUAUCAAAACAACCUUAAACAAGAUCAGUUUACAUUAAAAUCAAUGUUGCAUUAGAAA
ensembl:lncRNA